UACGUAGGGUGCGAGCGUUGUCCGGAAUUAUUGGGCGUAAAGGGCUCGUAGGCGGUUUGUCGCGUCGGGAGUGAAAACACCGGGCUUAACUCGGUGCUUGCUUUCGAUACGGGCAGACUAGAGGCAUGCAGGGGAGAACGGAAUUCCUGGUGUAGCGGUGAAAUGCGCAGAUAUCAGGAGGAACACCGGUGGCGAAGGCGGUUCUCUGGGCAUGUCCUGACGCUGAGGAGCGAAAGUGUGGGGAGCAAACAGG
rnacentral:rRNA from 1 species